UUGGCAGGGACUGAGAGGGAUGCAACACCCCUCAUGGCUGACAAAAACCCCUUGUUUUGACAGAGGAUUGAGCGAGUGUUUCGGCUCUGCCCUCACGGAGAGAGGAUUAAGCUGUGUGGCCGUGCUGCCGGGUGGCGCAGGGAGUUGGUAGGCUGUGUUAUCAUGUCACUCCUCCCUCCCGUGCUACCGCAGAUCUGCGCUGCCCCCAUGACGCCAAAAGAAGCACCUGGCCUGGCCACGGGGAGCUCAUCAGGCUCACUGUUCUCCCUUAGGAACAAGGCUGCGUCGCACUUUCUGCAGUAUCCCAUGUCUUGCUGACUGCAGAAGAAGGACAAUUCAAAGACAAAUAUACAGUGAGGCUACAGGUUCUGUUUGUGUUUGGGAAUAAGCUAUCCUUCCCCGCUAUCACAUCUAGAUCCCCAUGUUUUUUCUGUACACAAGUUUACGGCGACAGUGGCAGAGCGGGGGCGAUGAGUCGGACGAGAGAUGGUAAAACAGAAAUAUCUGUCUCUGUGCCGGAGAUACCUUGCCUCCGGAAUCCCACUCCAUGUCCUCAAUCUAUGGCAACAUUAGCAUGAGGAGAACACGCAGGGAACACGGGUGCUCCUGGAAAAGCUGGACAAUCUUUGGGGAUUUCUUCAAUUAAAAAUGUGACACUAGAGCUCAGACCUGGUUAUUAUAAUUCUCACCCCACCUUCGUUUCAUCUUCCAGCCACAUAUUUUUCCUGUUGUCACUGCCGAGGCAAGCACUAAUUACAACUCAUACAUAAUCUUUUAUGUAAAUGUUUUUGCCUUCUUUGAUCUCCCCCAUGUACUCGAGGAUAGCCAGAUCAGAGACUUGGGCUAGAUCUGUCACUUGAGUCAGAAGGAGAGAAGUGAAGUAGAAGGAAAUCUGAUUUGUUGUGGUGUUUGUCAGCCCAUGAACACAGAGGAUGUUUGAUCAGGUCAUUUCAUGUUGCGGUCUAAAACAACAUGGUCAAACCACCCAGAUCUUUCAUCCCGAUCUUAUGGGACAAACAAGCUUAG